UACGUAGGGAGCAAGCGUUGUCCGGAAUCAUUGGGCGUAAAGCGCGCGUAGGUGGCCUCAUAAGUCCGCUGUGAAAGUCAAAAGGCUCAACCUUUGAAAGCCGGUGGAUACUGUGAGGCUAGAGUACGGAAGAGGCGAGUGGAAUUCCUGGUGUAGCGGUGGAAUGCGCAGAUAUCAGGAGGAACACCAAUAGCGAAGGCAGCUCGCUGGGACGGUACUGACGCUGAGGCGCGAAAGCGUGGGGAGCGAACAGG
rnacentral:rRNA from 1 species